GACGAACGCUGGCGGCGUGCCUAACACAUGCAAGUCGAACGGAGUUAUUAAUGAAGCUUGCGAUUUAAUAACUUAGUGGCGGACGGGUGAGUAACGCGUGGGUAAUCUGCCCAUAAGUGGGGAACAACAGUUGGAAACGACUGCUAAUACCGCAUAAUCUGCGCAAGCAGGAAAGGUGGCCUCUGAAUAUGCUGCCGCUUAUGGAUGAGCCCGCGUCUGAUUAGCUUGUUGGUGAGGUAAUGGCUCACCAAGGCAAAGACGGGUAGCUGGUCUGAGAGGAUGAUCAGCCACACUGGGACUGAGACACGGCCCAGACUCCUACGGGAGGCAGCAGUGGGGAAUAUUGGACAAUGGGCGAAAGCCUGAUCCAGCCACGCCGCGUGUGUGAUGAAGGUCUUCGGAUCGUAAAGCACUGUGGAGAGGGAAGAAUUGGUAGGAGGUUAAUACCCUCUUAUCUUGACGGUACCUCUUUAGCAAGCACCGGCUAACUCCGUGCCAGCAGCCGCGGUAAUACGGAGGGUGCAAACGUUGCUCGGAAUCAUUGGGCGUAAAGCGCGUGUAGGCGGCUAAUUAAGUCGAGUGUGAAAGCCCCGGGCUUAACCUGGGAAGUGCGCUCGAAACUGGAUAGCUAGAGUACGGGAGAGGGUAGUGGAAUUCCCGGUGUAGAGGUGAAAUUCGUAGAUAUCGGGAGGAACACCAGUGGCGAAGGCGGCUACCUGGACCGAUACUGACGCUGAGACGCGAAAGCGUGGGUAGCAAACAGGAUUAGAUACCCUGGUAGUCCACGCUGUAAACGAUGAGUGCUAGGUGUUGCGGGUUUUGACCCCUGCGGCGCCGUAGCUAACGCAUUAAGCACUCCGCCUGGGGAGUACGGCCGCAAGGCUA
rnacentral:rRNA from 1 species